AGGGCCGUGCCGGCCAGAGCCCAGCGUGCGCGGCCCUGCGUGCGUGCACACGCAUAUGUGUCCAGGUGCCUACGCAGGUGCCUGACCCUGGGCAAGUCGCUCCGUCAUGCGGACCUCAGUUUUCUCCUCUGUCCGACGAAGGAGAGAAACUGAGUCUGAGGGAUGUCAACAUGCCAAGUCCAUGAAAUAUUAGUGGGCUGGAAUUCUAGCUGCCUGAAAGAAGACAUUCCUCACAAAAGACCUCACAAUCAUAUCCAUGGAAUUAUAGCACUGGGCUCUCCAGAUGGUGCUACAGGAAGACCUCCAGAAAUUUGACAAGCCCUACCACAGAGACACACAGGAACGGAACUCAGAAUCACAAACAAAGAAACUUUGAUCCAAGAAAGAAAAUGAUCUUUAAAAAGACCCUCGUUUCAUGCUGGCCAAUGCUGAGAAAAUCUGCUCUGGAGGAUAUUUGGAGACACUGAUUAAAAGAUGGUUGUCCCAGUGGAGGGGGAUUCUUCGUGUUACAUAGAUAGCAAGCACGAUGCAAAAGUGUUGAAGCAGGAGUGUAAAGAAUAAUUAAAACACCUGCCCAAGACCCAAGCAAGGAUAGGAUUUCCCAGACAUUCCCGAGGGAAAAAAUGCCAUGUCCUUUCCUUCUGGUGUCACAUCAGAAUCUGAAGGCUGCUAGAGAAGGGAGAGAAACUUGAAAGUGAGUCCCAUGCUGAUUGUUGUUGAAAUACCUGGAAAGAAACUGGCAAAGACUAUCCAAGGGAUGCUAAGACAUGUCCGAACUUACAAAACAGUAGAACCUGAAUAGGAAUUUGAAGUUGUCUAUACUCUCCUCAGCCACACCCUGCCAUUUUACAGAUUGUCUUCUCUGGGGAAGUUAGCUGUCAUGUUGUGAGGAUACUCAAGCAGUUUAUAAAGUGGUUCAUGUUGCAAGGAAUGGAGGCCUCCUGCCAACAGCCAUGUAAAGGAGCCAUCUAGGAAACAGAUUCUCCAGCCCCAGUCAGACCUUCAGAUGAUUACAGCCCCUACCAACCUUCUGACUGCAGUGGAAGGAAAGUUCCGGAACCAGAACCACCCAGGUUAAUGUGGGUAAGUCUCAUCCAAUCCUUUGAAGGCCUGAAGAACAAAGAGUGAGGUUUCCGGAAGAAGAAAAUUUUACCUCAAGCCUGCAAUGUAGAAAUUCUGCUUGAGUUUCCUGCCUGCUGGCCUGCCCUGUGGAAUUCGGAGUCAAGAAGGAGUCGUGUAAGCAUUAACUGAGAUAGUAUAUGAAGAGUGCUUUUGCACCGAGUGAACCUUCAAUCAACUGUACUAGUUUGUAUGCCUGGAAGAGCUGCUAUAUGGGAUCAGAAAGAAAAAUAAGGUGCAUACCCCAGAAAAAAAUACUUGCAUAUGAGUACUAGGAGAUGCAUAACAAUGUUCACGGCAGCAGUAUUCAUGGCAGUGAAAAAUGAAAAGAACUUAAAUGCCCAUUGAUAAAAACGUCUACUUAUUUGUGUCAUCUUUGCACAGUGGAAUUGUGCGAGUGGAAAUGAUUGAUCUACAGCUAGGAGAAGCAGCAGAGCUCGAUCUCAAAAACAUAAUGUUGUGUGGAAAAAGCUAACCUCAGAACACUUUGCGGCUCUAUCUUAGCAAACCAGGAGAGAAAUUCUCCUGAUGGCCUUGAAGAAGCAAACAGCCACCUGGUUAAGCCCCUGUGGAUAGUGCCAAGUGGCAGGAAAGUGGGAGCCGCCUCUAGGACCUGAGGAUUAAAGUCAGUAAGAGCUGGGACCUCACUCAUGCAGACUCGAGGACAUGAAUUCGACCAACAACUUGAAUGAGCUUGGAAGUGGAUUCUUCCCUAGUCCAGUCUUCAGAAAUUAAGAAUGUUCCCAAAGAAUGAUGGAGACAUUUCAAAAGGAUACAGAAGCCAGAUUGUGGGCGCUUCUACUGGCCAACUCUGGGACAUCGUAGACAUCAAAAUAAAUUUGUAAUAAUAAAGGAUCAUAGCCUAUUAGUUAAAUCAGAUUUUUCUGAUUUAACUAAAUGAGUAGGAGGAAAAGAAAGCUCUUCCUUAUAUUAGAAAGUCAAUUAAUAAAUGCAGAAAGGAAUGAAAAAAUUAGAAAAGCCACCAUUUGGCAACCAUGGCAGGCAGAAUGGGGAGUAUGCCUCCAGACAGUAAUUCCUUUCAAACUGGUUUAUAGGAACUCACUGAGCUUGCUGAUCGACCUCUGAGAGGCAAAGUUUCUGAAUUUUGAAGUACUGAUUAUAUAAACUUAGACAGAGACAUGCUUCAUUAUUUAAUAGGACUGUGUCAAAAGCCUACUAUUAGGAUGAUGUGUUGGGUGUGGAACAGGGUCUCUUCCUGCCAGGAACACUGGUGAUUUCAUUCCGUGUUCAGGCUGAUCUUUGAAGUUGAAGACAAGCAGAAGAAUCCUUCUAAAAUUUAGCCAUGCCCAUAGGCUGGGAGGGACACUGCUCCAUUCAGAGGCAACAAAGCACAUUACUGUAUCUCCUAUAGAGCUUUGAGCAGUCCAGUGCACAUGGAGAAACUUAAUAAAUGUUUGUUGAAUUAAUGAAUGAACAAAUCAAUGGACCAAGUCAGGGAUAAGUCUUACAUUUGUCAUCUAGGUGAUUAAGAAAGGAAACAGUAUCUGUUUCAAGAGGAUUACAAUCUAACUUUACUCCAAUAGUAAAAUUUACUCUUUUGGAAUCUGAA